rnacentral:rRNA from 1 species
UACGGAGGGUGCGAGCGUUACCCGGAAUCACUGGGCGUAAAGGGCGUGUAGGCGGGAUGUUAAGUUUGGCUUCAAAGACCGCGGCUCAACCGCGGGGAGGGGCUGAAUACUGGCAUUCUGGACUCCUGGAGAGGCAACUGGAAUUCUUGGUGUAGCGGUGGAAUGCGUAGGUACCAAGAGGAACACCAAUGGCGAAGGCAGGUUGCUGGACAGAGAGUGACGCUGAGGCGCGAAAGUGUGGGGAGCGAACCGG